rnacentral:lncRNA from 1 species
GUGCAUAUGUCCUCUAAGAUUUUUUAUUUAUUUUUUUUUUUUGUUGUGGUUGCAAGCUUUAGGGUUUCUGUUCUUCUAACUGCUGGAGUAUGUCCGAGGUUUCUCUGCUAUGUAGACGAAUGCGGAUAUGUGUGUGUGUGUGUGUGUGUGUGUGGCUGGCAUGGUCUUUUCUCUCUCAUCUCCAUCUGGUCUCCAUUAGGACUGGGAGUAUAAAACUACCGCACUAAGAGAGAGCUCCACAGAGCCGACAGACUCUUAACAAACUAACCCCAACACACUCUUGCAGCUAUGGCCAUGGUGCUGUGGGUCUAUCUGCUGUGUCUGCAGGGAUGUCUUCUCACAUAUGCUCUGGACUGCACGGGCAGAAGGGUGGACUGUGCCGACACACAGGUUACAGAGGUAAAGGUUAAAGAUGAGCCCUUAUCUUCUCAGGUGAGGGCUCGAAGACAAGCUCAAAUCACUCCGCGGCCUGGAUCUUACUCAGUCAAAGGAUCUCCUAACACACUCAUCCAGACCGACAGGUCGAGGCGACAUUUGAACGCUAGUAAAAAAAAGCCCCACAGAUCUCGUAUCGGCUCUUACUCAUUACUUUCCCAUAACCACGCAACCAACCAACUACAGGUUGUAAGUGUUCAUAGACAGUUUGAGGGUGCAUCCCAUCCCAAAGUGGCUGCAUUAAAGUCUGUGAAGAAGAGAUCCAGAAGAAAUUCACCAAAGAAAGAAGAAUGCAAGGAAUAACACAUGCUCCUGGGAGGUUCUUUGAAGCACUUACUGAAGCUGUACUUCCUGUUAAUGUUCUAGCUCAUCUGAGGCAAUGUACUUGUAAAAGUGCUGUGAGAUCACAGAUUCUGUGCAGAUAAUGUGAUCACAAUUAAUGACAAUAACUGGACAGUCCCACAUUUAAAUUUCUCAAAUACACAAAAAUGACUUCAAUAUAAACGUAUAUACAGCAUACUAAGCUUUGAAACCUGCAUAAUACCCAUUUAGAAGAAAGUUUAUAGUUUAAUUAUCUUUUGCUAAUACAAUUCUGAACAAUGUUGAACUAAGUUAUUUACAUCUCUAUACACUGCUUGCC